GACGAACGCUGGCGGCGUGCUUAACACAUGCAAGUCGAACGGAAAGGCCCUGCUUUUGUGGGGUGCUCGAGUGGCGAACGGGUGAGUAACACUUGAGUAACCUGCCCUUGACUUUGGGAUAACUUCAGGAAACUGGGGCUAAUACCGGAUAGGAGCUCCUGCUGCAUGGUGGGGGUUGGAAAGUUUCGGCGGUUGGGGCUGGACUCGCGGCUUAUCAGCUUGUUGGUGGGGUAGUGGCUUACCAAGGCUGUGACGGGUAGCCGGCCUGAGAGGGUGACCGGCCAAAGUGGGACAGAGAUACGGCACAGACUACUACGGGAGGCAGCAGUGGGGAAUAUUGCACAAUGGGCGGAAGCCUGAUGAAGCAACGCCGCGUGAGGGAUGACGGCCUUCGGGUUGUAAACCGCUUUCGCCUGUGACGAAGAGUGAGUGACGGUAAUGGGUAAAGAAGCACCGGCUAACUACGUG
rnacentral:rRNA from 1 species